rnacentral:lncRNA from 1 species
AACUGGGGCAAGAGCCCCAGGACAGCCUGCCCCUGGGACGCAGGAACUGGCAGGCGCGGCUCUGAUGGGGUCUGCGGCUCGGAGAGGAAAACCAGACAAAGGCGGCCCGGUACAAAGCCCUGCGUGCAGGUAGCAGCUGCGUGCCCUGCGUCUCUGAUUGUGAGGAAGUGGGUCACUCCUUUGUCACACUACCGAGGACCCCCACCAUCCUUCGGAUCUGUACUCACCCAGGACUACUGGGAGUGAGGAGGGCAGGGCCGCACUCUGGGACUCAGACGGCGGGAGGAGUAAGAACAGCAUCCACAAGAGUCAGCCCUCAUCACACCACGAGCGUUUUCAAAGAAACAAAUAAAAAUAGCCAGAAGUGGGUCAGCACUUACAGUGAGGCUGGAGGCAGGAAACUGGGGCAGAAGUUUUAUUUCAUAAAUCCCAACUCGAGCGCUCUCGCCAACCUGAGUCCCUCUUAUUUUUCUUCCUUUUCCUUCUCUGACUUCUGGAUGCACCAGAAGAGUGUCAAAUCCUGGCUUCAUCUAUUUCCAAGGCUCUUUGCCCUGAGGCUGAGGGGAAGAUGCUAAAAGGAGCUGACUUGGAAAGCAGGUGGGAAGGAGAUGGCACAGGCAGUCUGCCUCCCUCUGCAGCCUCGGCGUGUUGCCUAGGGGAAAGGGCAGCACCCAGGUGGGAAGCAUGAGUCCUCAGACUUUCCUGAACUGGAGCAGGCCUACCCACACCAGCACCCCCUGUACAGCCCCACAGGUCUGUGGCACCUGGGAUGGCACACACAGGUACACUUGUACACACAACAGGACACACAUUUCCAAAACACAUACACCCAGCACACAUGCCUGCAUAGUCCAAACCCAUUCCCACACACACCCCUGACGGGCACACAGUUGUAGACUGUACUCAUAUACCCACUCAGCUCCCAUGCACACACAUGGUGCAUACACAUGGCACCCGUGCACAUACACAGUACAGCUGGCUCUCCCCAUUGUGAGUUCCAUGUCCACGGAUUCAGUGGGGGAGAAGAGCUUGUCUUACACCGACAGGCUUUCCCCUUGCCAUCAUUCCCUAAGUAAUGCAGUAUAACAACUUCUGCCCUGGCAGGCACACUAUGGUAGGUACUGUAAGCAGCCUGGAGAUAAUCUGAAGUACGUGGGAGAAGCACGUGGACUACAUGCAAAAACUGCUCCAUUUUAUGCAAGGGACUUGGGCAUCUGCAGCUCCUGAUGCCCUCUGUGGGGUCGUCAACCCCAUCCCCUCUGGACACCCAGUAGCCACUUGCCCUACUCCUAUGCACACACUGGACCUGCAGAAAUCAGAAACUGGCUCCUGCUCUCUGUACCCUUGACCUUGGCAGCUCUCCUUGGCACCCACAUUUGGCAGGAUUACAUUUCCUUGUGGCCUCAGUGAUGUGAUGGGGCAGAUUUAUUGGGCUUAUCAAAAAAAGAGAGAAGGUGAGAGCAAACUCUGCGGUGCAAUCAUCUCAGCCUUCGGUUUCAGUCUGCAGGUCCCCAGAGCCAAGACGGAAGAAGGACAAAAUGGGGUCGUUGGGUGAGAGUCUGUGUGUGUGGCCAGUGAUUUGCUGGAGCUGUGAAAUGCGCACUGCUCUCAAAUGUAUCGUCUUUGAAUUCAGCAAAAUUCAUACCAAUCUGGGUUUGGUGGGUGACAUAAGCAGCUCGCACAGACCUGCUUGUGCUCCUGCAAACACACAGGCUCAAGAUGGGCUAAAAAAAGAGCAGGCUCCGGGACUCUGGAGGAAUGCCAUGGAAGAGUGGCCCUCCCUCCUGCCUCUCCUCCUGGGGAAGGCCACCGCCCAGAGGCCUAGCGGUCAGCACUCUCACCCAGGCCUCAGGGCUGGAGGAGGGCAAGUGGCCCCCUCUGGGGUUCUGCUGGGAUGCGGACUGUGCUCAGGGUCCCUGACAGCCCCAUCCUCUAGCCAGCAGACUCUGCCGUGGGCAGUCAGCUUUGUCACCUUGAAGUGGUAUUCAUUUCCCUUACUCACAGCUCAGGGAUGGGUCCUCGGAGCCUUUGCCCAACAGAGCCGCCUGUUGGCUGUGAGAGGGUUAGGAUUCCAGAAAGACUCGACCUCAGCUUGUGUGUUCAGCUCCCAGACGCCCAUGGGUGGACAGGUCUCUGGUGUUUCUUAAAAAUCAUGCAGUUUAAAAGAUCUAGCAAGGAUGGUGGAAUGUGAUGGACAUCAUUAUCCAAAGUACAUGUAUGAAGACACUAAUUGGUGUCAACAUACUUUAUAUACAACCAGAGAUAUGAAAAAUUGUGCUGUAUACGUGUAAAAAGAAUUGUAAUGCCUUCUGCUAUCAUUUAUUUUUUUUAAUCAAUUAAAAAAAAAAAAUCUCCUGGCUCUGAAUCUGGCCUAAAAGUGAGGAACCAAACACACACCAACUGCACAAAAUCUUCAAGAAUAAAGGAUUUUUUUUUUAAAGCUUGGGGCUUUCAGGGUGGGAUUUUGGGGGAGUGAAAAGAAGAUCUCAAUCAAAAGAAACUUAAGACCAUGGCCGAAAUUCCCUUUUCU